UCUCCAGUUGCCAUCUGUGAGCAAUCUACAUUCUCAGCCUCAUCAUUAAUUUGUGUCACUUCUUGAAAACAGCACUAUCGUAUGCUCAGGCUUUCGAAACAUCGGGAUUUGUUGUAAAACAGACAUCCAGCUUUUCAAAGAGCUCCGUGUCCAGAACGAGCCAAGAAAUGCAUAGACAACCCACCCUGCUGUUUUGUUGUUUGGGUGGCAAAAUGAAGGCACUUCUUGGAUGCUGAGUUUGCUGUGCUCAUGCAAACAACCAAUCGAUGGGACACAAAGCCCUCUUCGUGAUGGGUUCUUGGAGAAAGGGAACACAACCCCAUACACGUGGGACAAAGAGAAAGCCCUCCUGAGCACAUCCUCAUGUUCAUCCAUCUGACGUGGGUACUGCUGGCUUGGGAGCCUCCUGCUAGAGAAAAUCAUUCUUUAAACAGUACUACAAGAUAGUGAAAAUACCCUGCAGAACCCCUCCAUGGAUAGCAGCCUCACAGUACAACUGCAGCAUCCACAAGUGGGAGGACGUGGAGGGCCCAAGUCAGAGAUCAAGUCAUACUAACACGUAUGUGUGUUUAGUACCACCCGGUAAUAUUUAUUUGCUGUCUCUGUAGCCUCAGAGAGGUGUUUCCUUCUUUAUAUUCAACCUGAGCACAACAGAACGAAGCAAAGCAUUUCUUUUGAUGUUGUUUUUGCUUUCCU
rnacentral:lncRNA from 7 species